rnacentral:rRNA from 1 species
GAUGAACGCUGGCGGCGUGCCUAAUACAUGCAAGUCGAGCGAACGGACGAGAAGCUUGCUUCUCUGAUGUUAGCGGCGGACGGGUGAGUAACACGUGGAUAACCUACCUAUAAGACUGGGAUAACUUCGGGAAACCGGAGCUAAUACCGGAUAAUAUUUUGAACCGCAUGGUUCAAAAGUGAAAGACGGUCUUGCUGUCACUUAUAGAUGGAUCCGCGCUGCAUUAGCUAGUUGGUAAGGUAACGGCUUACCAAGGCAACGAUGCAUAGCCGACCUGAGAGGGGGAUCGGCCACACUGGAACUGGGACACGGUCCAGACUCCUACGGGAGGCAGCAGAAGGGAAUCGUCCGCAGUGGGCGAGAGCAUGGCGGAGCAACGGCGCGUGAGUGAUGACGGUCUUCGGAUCGUAAAACUCUGUUAUUAGGGAAGAACAUAUGUGUAAGUAGCUGUGCACAUAUUGACGGUACCUAAUCAGAAAGCAACGGCUAACUACGUG